GGCCUUGUGGCCUAAUGGCUAUGGCGCCAGAUUUCGGCCUUCCAACGGUCAUCACUCUGGAGAUUCGGGGUUCGAGUCCUCGCAGGGUCG
rnacentral:tRNA from 1 species